AUUGAACGCUGGCGGCAGGCCUAACACAUGCAAGUCGAACGAGUGGCGGACGGGUGAGUAAUGUAUGGGCAUCUGUGUGAUGGAGGGGGAUAACUACUGGAAACAGUAGCUAAUACCGAAUAACUUCGGUUGUGGCCAGAUGGGAUUAGCUAGUAGGUGGGGUAAAGGAUCACCUAGGCGACGAUCCCUAGCCGGUCUGAGAGGAUGACCAGCCACACUGGAACUGAGACACGGUCCAGACUCCUACGGGAGGCAGCAGUGGGGAAUAUUGCACAAUGGGCGCAAGCCUGAUGCAGCCAUGCCGCGUGUAUGAAGAAGGCCUUCGGGUUGUAAAGUACUUUCAGCGGGGAGGCGUUACCCGCAGAAGAAGCACCGGCUAACUCCGUGCCAGCCGCCGCGGUAAUAC
rnacentral:rRNA from 1 species